rnacentral:lncRNA from 1 species
UUGUCUUUACCCAUGAGUUUCAAUUUCGUCUCCGGUGGUUAUGGAUCGAGCACAUCGCGCGGUGGACGUCAGUUUCAAGACAAUCAAAAUCUCAGGCUUUGUACGUGCGAAAUUGAAGGUAGAAGGUUGAGGGCUGUGAUAAUGACAUCGUGGACUGACGAAAAUCCCGGUAGGAGGUUUUAUGGAUGUCGAAAUUGGAAGGUAUGUUUGUGAUUUAGCACUAGUUUGUAUUUUUUGAUCUUUCUUGCUUUAAAUGUCUGCAAUUUCGUGUUUUAGACGAAGAACUGUGGAUUUUUUAUUGGCUUGACGAACCAAUUAGUGAAAGAGCCAAGGAAGUCAUCAAUGAGUUGAAGCUCAUGAAGAUUAAGGAGAGCU